rnacentral:misc_RNA from 1 species
GGGAAACAUCAUAGGUGAGAUAUCAUCUCAAGUUGAUGUUGCCUGUGAACCUGUUUCUGAACAUGAAGAAGUUAAGGAAGAAACCUCUGUGGAGACUGAUGAGUCCAUUAGACAAGGGAAUGGCUAUCGGAAGAAGGUUUUUGAUUUAAGAGAAAUAGUCAACUUGCGGAACAGAUCAAUAGGGAAAUUAGAUUGGAGAAAUUGGACACCG